UAGGGAAUCUUCGGCAAUGGGGGGAACCCUGACCGAGCAACGCCGCGUGAGUGAAGAAGGUUUUCGGAUCGUAAAGCUCUGUUGUUAAGGAAGAACGAGUGUGAGAAUGGAAAGUUCAUGCUGUGACGGUACUUAACCAGAAAGGGACGGCUAACUACGUGCCAGCAGCCGCGGUAAUACGUAGGUGGCAAGCGUUGUCCGGAUUUAUUGGGCGUAAAGCGAGCGCAGGCGGUCAAUUAAGUCUGAUGUGAAAGCCCCCGGCUCAACCGGGGAGGGUCAUUGGAAACUGGUUGACUUGAGUGCAGAAGAGGAGAGUGGAAUUCCAUGUGUAGCGGUGAAAUGCGUAGAUAUAUGGAGGAACACCAGUGGCGAAGGCGAUUCUCUGGUCUGUAACUGACGCUGAGGCUCGAAAGCGUGGGUAGCAAACAGG
rnacentral:rRNA from 1 species